GACGAACGCUGGCGGCGUGCUUAACACAUGCAAGUCGAACGGAAAGGCCCUGCUUUUGUGGGGUGCUCGAGUGGCGAACGGGUGAGUAACACGUGAGUAACCUGCCCUUGACUUUGGGAUAACUUCAGGAAACUGGGGCUAAUACCGGAUAGGAGCUCCUGCUGCAUGGUGGGGGUUGGAAAGUUUCGGCGGUUGGGGAUGGACUCGCGGCUUAUCAGCUUGUUGGUGGGGUAGUGGCUUACCAAGGCUUUGACGGGUAGCCGGCCUGAGAGGGUGGCCGGCCACAUUGGGACUGAGAUACGGCCCAGACUCCUACGGGAGGCAGCAGUGGGGGAUAUUGCACAAUGGGCGGAAGCCUGAUGCAGCAACGCCGCGUGCGGGAUGACGGCCUUCGGGUUGUAAACCGCUUUCGCCUGUGACGAAGCGUGAGUGACGGUAAUGGGUAAAGAAGCACCGGCUAACUACGUGCCAGCAGCCGCGGUGAUACGUAGGGUGCGAGCGUUGUCCGGAUUUAUUGGGCGUAAAGGGCUCGUAGGUGGUUGAUCGCGUCGGAAGUGUAAUCUUGGGGCUUAACCCUGAGCGUGCUUUCGAUACGGGUUGACUUGAGGAAGGUAGGGGAGAAUGGAAUUCCUGGUGGAGCGGUGGAAUGCGCAGAUAUCAGGAGGAACACCAGUGGCGAAGGCGGUUCUCUGGGCCUUUCCUGACGCUGAGGAGCGAAAGCGUGGGGAGCGAACAGGCUUAGAUACCCUGGUAGUCCACGCUGUAAACGGUGGGUACUAGGUGUGGGGUCCAUUCCACGGGUUCCGUGCCGUAGCUAACGCUUUAAGUACCCCGCCUGGGGAGUACGGCCGCAAGGCUAAAACUCAAAGGAAUUGACGGGGCCCCGCACAAGCGGCGGAGCAUGCGGAUUAAUUCGAUGCAACGCGUAGAACCUUACCUGGGUUUGACAUGGAUCGGGAGCGCUCAGAGAUGGGUGUGCCUCUUUUGGGGUCGGUUCACAGGUGGUGCAUGGCUGUCGUCAGCUCGUGUCGUGAGAUGUUGGGUUAAGUCCCGCAACGAGCGCAACCCUUGUUCACUGUUGCCAGCACGUUAUGGUGGGGACUCAGUGGAGACCGCCGGGGUCAACUCGGAGGAAGGUGGGGAUGACGUCAAGUCAUCAUGCCCCUUAUGUCCAGGGCUUCACGCAUGCUACAAUGGCUGGUACAGAGAGUGGCGAGCCUGUGAGGGUGAGCGAAUCUCGGAAAGCCGGUCUCAGUUCGGAUUGGGGUCUGCAACUCGACCUCAUGAAGUCGGAGUCGCUAGUAAUUGCAGAUCAGCAACGCUGCGGUGAAUACGUUCCCGGG
rnacentral:rRNA from 1 species